CGCGGGGUGGAGCAGCUUGGCAGCUCGUCGGGCUCAUAACCCGAAGGUCGGAGGUUCAAAUCCUCCCCCCGCUA
rnacentral:tRNA from 1 species